GCUUACCACUAACCAGUCAUAACAAUGCUUGGUCAACACACCCCAAGAAUUGAACUUCAGAUUACAACACAAAAUUUUCAUGUUCUCCCAAUGUACAGUUCAUAAAGAGAAAAGAGAUCGUGAUUGUCUUCUCAAGAGAACUGUUCUCUGGGUCUGAGAAUUGAUACAACAGAGUAAGAAUUUAGCUUCUGCUUCAACAAUAUCGGUUGAUCCAGGCUGACAAGAGAUAAAUGCCCAGAUGCAUUGUACCAUGCUGACGGAGGAAAUGUAUUGACUUCUGCCUCGGAUCUCUGAUCAUCCAGCAACAGUGAAUGAACUAUCAACCAAGAAAUGCCCAAAAAGAGUAUCACCACUGUACACAGCUAAGAAGGUUUUGCUUUUCUUCCAACUUUUGCUAUGCGCUUAAGUUCUUGAGUUCCGCUUUUCAUCUCUCUUUGGUACAAAUAGACAAUGAGGUAAAAUAGAGGGAGCAGCAUCAAAGUCAAUACUGAAGCUGCCAAGUAGAAUCGAUUUGUAUGCUUCUUUCCUCCUCUAGAAAACGGUUUUCUACCUCCCGAGCAAGUGUGAGCAUCACAGAAUUGGCGCAAGAAUAGUUCAUGAAGACGAGUUGAUGAUGGACUCUGAUUAGCAGGAAAACAUUUGUCUGCAAGACCCUCACAUAAAUGACGAUUUCGUGCUGCUGCCGCAGGAUUACACUUGGUCUUCUGGGAUUUGAUUUCCAUCACAAGGUCACAAUGCAAAGCUCCACAUACAUCUGCCAGGCAUUUGCUUUGAUCAACGUCUAGAAGAUUGGAAUGCCUGUUGUCAAAAUGCUGAUCAAGAAAUUUUUCAGCCCGAAAGCUUUUUCUGCAGUAUCCACAGCGCCAUUCAUUCACAUCAAGAUGAAUUUUAUGUUCCUCCUGAUCUCUGAAAAGAUCAUUACUCGGAUGAAGUCUACACUGCCUAGGAAGCUCAUACUUCUCUUUUUCUACAAAGGGCAUUAAGUACUCCUCAACAACUUUCCAGGCAGCUCGGCUUCUCUCUCUGGAGCAAUGAAUUUCGUGAACAUGUGAUUUGUCUUGUGCGGGACUUGUCGCAUGCUUGUCCGUACCCU
rnacentral:misc_RNA from 1 species